GCAGUCGCAGCGGAUGAGGGAGCUUGCUCCUGGAUUCACGCGCGCGCGACGGGUGAGUAAUGCCUAGGAAUCUGCCUGGUAGUGGGGGAUAACGUCCGGAAACGGGCGCUAAUACCGCAUACGUCCUGAGGGAGAAAGUGGGGGAUCUUCGGACCUCACGCUAUCAGAUGAGCCUAGGUCGGAUUAGCUAGUUGGUGGGGUAAAGGCCUACCAAGGCGACGAUCCGUAACUGGUCUGAGAGGAUGAUCAGUCACACUGGAACUGAGACACGGUCCAGACUCCUACGGGAGGCAGCAGUGGGGAAUAUUGGACAAUGGGCGAAAGCCUGAUCCAGCCAUGCCGCGUGUGUGAAGAAGGUCUUCGGAUUGUAAAGCACUUUAAGUUGGGAGGAAGGGCAGUAAGUUAAUACCUUGCUGUUUUGACGUUACCAACAGAAUAAG
rnacentral:rRNA from 1 species